GCCAGUUGAUCCAUCAAGAGUAGAGUCUGCAAAACAUCUCAGGCACUGAUCUUGGGAGCAGUUUAGGGAAGGUCAGAAUCUUGUGGCCUCCAACUACUUGACUCCUAAACCGUAAUUUCUAAUACUGUGGCUAACUUUAGUAGUCUAGUCUCCAGGCAAGAAGGGAGUUUGUUCUGGGAAAGGGCUGUUAUUGUCAUUUUUUAAAACUAUAAACUAAGUUCCUCCCAAAGUUUUUUCAGCCUGCGCCCAGAAAUGAACAAGGACAGCUUGGAGGUUAGAGGCAAGAUGGAGUCGUUUAAGUUGGACCUCUUUCACUGUCUCAGUCAUAAUUUUGCAAAGGCGGUUUCAGUUGCAGACAAAAGGAUCCGCAGGCUCCAGUGACUGUCUGCAUGGCGGGAGAAAACACAAGAAACUGGUUGGAGUAAAAAGAUUCCCCUUUUCAAGAUCGCCAAAAGUGGAACUGAUCGCUUUCGAAGGGACUCCUUCAGGAAGAAGGAGAAAAAUUCGAGAAACUUACCUGUUUCUCUCCCUGGAAUGCCUUCUGAACCCUGAGAUUUACUUUCCUCAAUAAAGAAGCUCGCCUCGCCCACCCAGCCCACUCUUCCUAGGAGCAGCGAGGAUCGCUGUCCCUCCAGCACAUACUAGUCAACUCGAGUCAUCUGAAUAUGGGCAUAUUGGGCACAUAUUUCUUUGUAAUGGUUCCUCUCCUAUUACAAUAUGUAUCUGUUGUUUCAUCGUUAGAUUGAAAGCUCUUUAAGAAUUAUGGUAACAGUGUUACAGCUCUUUCAGAAUUUGUUUAGCAGGUUUUCUGGUUUUCACAGGAAAAUAAAAUAAAAACAAUAAUUAUAAUAAUGGCUACCGUGUUUUGAAUGCUUGCUUUUAGGCUAUUAAGCACAG
rnacentral:lncRNA from 1 species